rnacentral:rRNA from 1 species
GAUGAACGCUGGCGGCGUGCCUAAUACAUGCAAGUCGAGCGAACGGACGAGACUCUUGCUUCUCUGAUGUUAGCGGCGGACGGGUGAGUACCACGUGGAUAACCUACCUAUAAGACUGGGAUAACUUCGGGAAACCGGAUCUAACACCGGAUAAUAUUUUGAACCGCAUGGUUCAAAAGUGAAAGCCGGUCUUGCUGUCACUUAUAGAUGGAUCCGCGCUGCAUUAGCUAGUUGGUAAGGUAACGGCUUACCAAGGCAACGAUGCAUAGCCGACCUGAGAGGGUGAUCAGCCACACUGGAACUGAGACACGGUCCAGACUCCUACGGGAGGCAGCAGUGGGGAAUAUUCCGCAAUGGGCGAAAGCCUGACGGAGCAACGCCGCGUGAGUGAUGAAGGUCUUCGGAUCGUAAAACUCUGUUAUUAGGGAAGAACAUAUGUGUAAGUAACUGUGCACAUCUUGACGGUACCUAAUCAGAAAGCCACGGCUAACUACGUG